CCACUACAUACAAUUAAUAGGGUCCCGGUGGCAUAACCAGUUCUCCUGGGUAAGGAGCCUAGGUUAAAAAAAGUCUUAUAGGGUCAAUUGAAGUAGAGUCUAAGGGGUUAAGAUGUCAAGCCUAUAAGAUUUAGGGAAAGGAGUGUGAGUGAUGAAGGUAUAUGGUGGAGAAGUCCUUGCAUUGGGUGCAAGACCUACAUGUUUUUGGAACUUAGUAAUAUACCUGGAGAUUGCAUAUUCUAUCCAUUAAAACAUGCAUUAGAAGCUAUAAGUUUAAAGGAAAUAGCAUGUCGUGUAUGCUUUUGUUUGUUCUUCGCAUGCACCAAGAAGGUAAUAUAUCAUAAUUUAGUGCUAUUUUGCAUAAAUAAAUGACUUAUUUAUUGUACAGUGAGUUGUGGUAAGCUAACAAACAGGUUGGAAAAUGUAACUCGAAACUGAAGAUUUUUUUUUACCGACAUUUUGGCCUACAUUUGGCAACUUGGUUGGCAGAUCACCACAAACCACUGUUAUGUGACAGUUUCCGAAGAGUUAUAUUGGUAAUGUUAUCUGUGACCAGUAAUCAUUCGAUAUUUAAAGACAAUCCAGAUAUAGAAAGGAUAUCGUUUAGCAUUGUAAAAAUGUGUUAGAGAGCAGAGAAAAUGCUAUUACAUUAUUAACAAAGUGAGUCCUGCUCUACACAACAUCUAAAAAGAGAAAGCCGAGCAUUUGCUGUAACAUUUCGAUACCUUAUAUACAGGUAAUAAAACAAUCAAAAACAAAUGACUAUAAUCAAUUCAAAAAAGCAACUUGGGGAAUAGAUGAAGAUGCUGGUAAAUCCAAAUGUUAAUACAAUUCAAGUACACUGCAUGUUGGCUUAUAGUCCAAGGUUUUUGAGGUUUUCCCCACUGGUUGGUGACAGAUGCAGAAUCUUUCUCUUCAAAUGGAAUGGGUUGGGGAGACCAGGUCCAUCCUCUUAGAAUGCUGACUGUAGGCAGAGUACAGUGCGCACUCACUAAACAAAGGAAGGUUCCAUUUCUAGUAGGUCCUCCACUGGCGUGAUGGAGGAAGAGACGGAGCCAGUGCCGAGGUAGCCUCAGUGCUGGAAAGAGGUAAGUGUUCUCGGGAAAGGCAGAUCUAGUUAGUUAGGGACAUGAGUAAUAAAGCGUUAGGAAUACAGGUUUGUAUUCCUAAUGCCAUAGUGUUCCUUUAAAGACUAUUAAACAUCAAAGUGUCUGUAAUCCUGUUAUAUCGUAAAUAUGAAAUCUGCUUGAACUCUAUGAAAGAUAAAUAAUAAUUGCCCCCUUUGUUUCUACCCAAACCAUGCUAUUCAAAUGAUAUGCUACCAAAUUGAUUUUCUAUUAACUCAAGCUCCAUUUGAAAAAAUAUUCUGUGAUGUUAUGGUACACUCUUGCCCACACACAGCUAAAGAUAGGACAAACAGCGUACGACAUAAAAAAACAAUCUAGGCUGCUCUAGCCAACCUGCUAAAUUAGGCGAAC